UAACAGCAUCCGAGGUAAAACCGAAUAUGAGAACAAGUACCGACGAGCUUGAAGGGCGGCAGCGGGGCAAGCAAAAAGACAAGGUGGAAGAUGCUGUGUUGAAGUAUAGGAGGAAGUGAGAUGAAGAUUUUGUAUUGAGAUGUGUUGACGCUGUCUAAUAAAGGAAGGUUGCUGACAAAUAAGGCAUGCUCUUGAUUGUUUUAUUUUUAUUUUUUAUUUAUUUUUUUUUGUGGUUAAUUGUUUUUUUUCUAACUCACUUACUCAUCUAAUCAUUUUUUCUCUGGUCCUUUUUCUCUAGUUCCUUUUUUCCUCUAGUCCCUUUUCUCCUCUAGUCCUUCUUCUCUAGUGGUCUUCUCAUCUUUCUAGUCUGGUAUUUACUGUUUCACAUGCAAUAGUUCUAGUAGCGAUGCAGCUAUUCAUUGCAAGCGACUAUUCCUACAAUGUAAACAGUGUAAACAUUGUAGAGAGUCGCUGCUCAAAAUCUUAGAAACGGCUAAUACUCUUUUCUACUCUUGCUUUUUUGUUGAUUUCUUUUCUAUUGUUUUCUUUACUUUACUUUCUCUACUUUGCUUGUCAUUGCUAGGUCUAGUCUUGUCGGGCGAAACAACCCAACAAGAGUAAAUUUUCAGAUGGUGACGUUGAAGACUGAGAUCCUCGACAUCAAGAUUUGGGUGUGAUAAACGAACGGACCCUUAGAUGGAUAGCGUAUUCACACCCUAAACCCGAAACAUAGGGUAGCGUUUUUAAGGCUGCCGAAAGGCGAGUCUACUAUGGCCCCUACGGUGGAUAAGAUGGAUAGUGAGUAAAUCCAAAGGGUAUUUGUCAAGCAAAAAAAUAAAUAAAUAAAGCAAUCAAUAGGUGGUGUUGCAUUCGCUAGUUUGCUUCAUUUAUUAAUUAUUACAUUCAUUAGUUUUUUAUGUUCGUUAGAUAUUAAAAGAUCAUCAAACUCAUCCUUCCUCUUAUAACGUCUCUUUUUCUUUUUUGUUUACUCUUCACACUCUUGCAUACUUUCAUAAUUUUUCCAACAAAACUUAUCUUGUCAAAGCUCACCAAAUUUUAUCUACGAAAUAAUCUUUCUCUCUCUCUCUUCAUUAUCAGUUAGCUACAUUCCAUUUUCCUUCUGUCUCCCUACUUUCUCCCACCCCGAUCAUCCACCUAUCCAUCAUCCUUCAUCUACUACUGCUUACUAUCCGUAAUCUAUAAGAAGUGUUGGCACUCACUAAUCCUCUGAAUUUACGGAUACUGCUCUUGAACUCGUUAUCGCUAUGUUUCGAACGGCGACUCUCUUCCUAAACACUUUCUAGCAGGUGGUUUCGCGAUCCCAAUUGCUAAAACACUUUAUUUCAUUUUCCGUCCCCUGCUGCCAAGGAGAAUUUCGGAUCUAAAUCGACGAGGAAGAAGAGGACGGUAUUGCAAAAUUUGAGAGAUAUUUACGUUUGUAUGAAGUUUGAAGAAAAAAAAAAAAAAAAAGAGGAUGAAAAUUUUUCUAACAUACAAUCUUUCAUCAAAUCCUUAAACUUGUUUUAGUAGUACGCUUACUAGAAAUCCUUUUUUAAAUUUUUUUUUAUUAAUUACCUAGUAUUUAGCUUUUUUUGUUUUGCUAUUUUGGUUCUCAUAUUUUUUAUCUUUAGUUCUAUUUCUAUUCUAUUUGUUCUCUUCUAUCCUUUCUCAUCAUUAGUCAGAUAAAAUAAAAAUCUCUCAAUUCAAAUAUUUCGAUUUCAAUACAUUCGGCUUAAAAUGUUUCAUUCGGUUCGAAAUGCUCUUUUAUAUUCCGUUCCUUGUUAUCUUCCCCUUUAUUUCAUCUUAACUUACUUAUCGUGUCCAUUUGUAAUCUGUAAAGUAUAUUUGCUAGUUUCUAAUUAUUUCUUUCUCCCUCUCUCUGUUUCUCUUGUUUCCUCUUACAUGGUGGGGGAUUGAUAAUUUUGGGCAAUCCACUGUGAGAUAAGUUUUCGUUUUUCUUACUCCUUGAUGCGAUAAUUCUAAAGUCAUAUGAUUCCUUUGCCUCACACCCAGCUAUCGCCCCCAUACUUAAUCAUACAAUCUGUACUCACUUUUCAUAGUAACUCUAUCCUUUCGUAAUAACCAUCCUACACUAAUCUAAAUUGACGUUUUCCUUCGAUAUUACAAUUUUUGUAUGCGCUUUACUAGCUUACCUGUUCCUUUGUUUACGCAUCCAUUAAACUUUUAACUGCAAAAUACAAUUACUAGAAAUUCAUUACGAGUGCACACAAAUGAAUAGUUUUGCGUAUACAAUACUAUAACCACCUAAAUUAAACCUUGGUUUGGUUUUUAUAUACAUACAUCAUCAUCAUUACUGUCGUAGCAACUGUACUUCUUCACAUAACAAAGUUCAUUACUAUAGCUGUCUAUGGUACAAACGUUAGCAUACAUUGUAUCACUUCAAAAUCAAUCGAUAGCUCUUUAGACUAGGAACAAAUGCUUAGCCUCUCUCUUCGUUCUUCCUCAAUCACGCGGCAUACUGCCGACUUGCCUUAAAUUUAGCGACAUAGCUAAUAAAAAAUUAGCGAUCAAAAAUCCAAGUUACCAUUCCUCAGGCAUUAUCAGCAAACCCUGUUUCAGACAUUUUAAAAAAUCGAUUAUUUUUUAUAUAACACAAGUGUUGGCAUAUUAAACGCUCGCCAUGCCUUUCUCCAUAAUCAUUCUUAAAUUCAUGGCCAAUGGCAGUCGUCUUUUUGUCAAUUUUUAACCGAAUAGUGCAGUACGCUUUUAGUGUGACAACUGGCCAAAAAAAAGUCCAAACUACUGAAAAUGGACCAAUGUAUACUGCGGAUAAGCAAUGCUUGUUUAUGAAGAUAAUUGGCCAUUCCGCAAGAUCCUCACUCCAAGUCAUUUCUUUAUUAACGAGUACAAGCAACAAGAUGUCAAAGAUAAGGUUAUCCAAAAACCGACUAUAUAAAUAUCCAUAAAAGUUUUUCUCCCAAUUUCCAUUGCUGUUUGUCAGAUGUUUCUUCAUAUCUCAAUAAAACAAUAGUAACGUUGUUCCAUUUGUAGUUUUUCUACCUUGCCUUGUUUUAUCUUGUCUCUUCUUAGUUAUCCCGUCAAUUUCAUUACUAAACUUAAAAGAGCC